UCCAUCUUUCUUUUCUUUCUUUCCAUUUUUUUUUUCCUCCAGAAGAAUGGAAACAGUAUUCUUUUCCGAUCAGUUCAGUAAUACAAUGUCCUUCAGUGUCCAUAUGAGCAUUUCAGUGGAGAAGAAAAGAAACUUUGCUACCUGGGAACUGAAGACUACUUAGGCUGGAGUGCAAUGGUGUGAUCUCAGCUCACUGCAACCUCUGCCUCCCGAAUCUCCUGCCUCAGCUGGAUUACAGCAUAGAUGCUGGCUCCUAGGGUGGGCAGAUUCUGGUCCUGCACCAACCCUGACUGGUGACCUUCUUGUCCAUCAACACCAUGUGGGUCCAGGUGGCUUCUGUGGUCCCUUCAGCUCAAGCUGCUGGUUGAUACUCAGUGAAACACCACUGUUCACAAAAACAAAGCAAAGAUGGGCUGUCUGGAAAGCUGGACUCAGCCUGGAGCAUGUUCCCCAGAUUGCUAUUUUGUGAAGGCUUCCGCAUACAAAUGACUCAGAUCCAAACAUUCAAAAAUGAUCUUGGAGGGCCAUCUGGUUCUUGCUGGUUCUAAAAGCUUCCUUCAGCCUGGAGUAUGGAUCCAGUACAAAAGAUAGUGAGAGCUGUUCAUUGAGGUUUAACAUGUUCCACUGACCGAGGCUAGAAGCUGGCUUUAAAAAAUAGCCAACACUGAUGCUCCAAGGGCCAAUUGCUGAUGCUUGUCACAGUGAAGAUCCCGGUGUUACACAUCCAAUCGUUCACCUCCUUCCAAGACUAUGACAUUCCAGGAAACCUUCACUGCUAAGAGGAACUAAGAUCUAGAGUAUCUCCUCGAGGAAGUACAACUGGUAAUUAAUAAGAAGUCCAGUGGCUCACACCUGCGAUCCCAGCACUUUGGGAGGCUGAGAUGGGCAGAUUGCUCGAGCCCAGGAAUUCAAGACCAACCUGGGCAACAUGGCAAAACCCCAUCUCUACAAAAAUACAAAAAUUAACCAGAUGUGAUGGUUCAUGCCUGUAGUCC
rnacentral:lncRNA from 1 species